rnacentral:tRNA from 1 species
GCCGGGGUAGCCAAGCCAGGUAAGGCGCCAGUCAUCAGGGCGAAACUCGAGAUCUGGUUCUCCUUCGGAGAUCGGGGGUUCAAAUCCCCUCCCCGGCG